rnacentral:miRNA from 1 species
CGCAUGUCAGGUGGUAAUCCA